GGGGGGCGGGGCCUAACCCUUGGCAAGGUCCGAGCGGUAGCACAGAGAAGCUUGCUCUCGGGUGACGAGCGGCGGACGGGUGAGUAAUGUCUGGGAAACUGCCUGAUGGAGGGGGAUAACUACUGGAAACGGUAGCUAAUACCGCAAACGUCGCAAGACCAAAGUGGGGGACCUUCGGGCCUCAGCCAUCAGAUGUGCCCAGAUGGGAUUAGCUAGUAGGUGGGGUAAUGGCUCACCUAGGCGACGAUCCCUAGCUGGUCUGAGAGGAUGACCAGCCACACUGGAACUGAGACACGGUCCAGACUCCUACGGGAGGCAGCAGUGGGGAAUAUUGCACAAUGGGCGCAAGCCUGAUGCAGCCAUGCCGCGUGUGUGAAGAAGGCCUUCGGGUUGUAAAGCACUUUCAGCGGGGAGGAAGGCGGUAAGGUUAAUAACCUUGUCGAUUGACGUUACCCGCAGAAGAAGCACCGGCUAACUCCGUGCCAGCAGCCGCGGUAAUACGGAGGGUGCAAGCGUUAAUCGGAAUUACUGGGCGUAAAGCGCACGCAGGCGGUCUGUCAAGUCGGAUGUGAAAUCCCCGGGCUCAACCUGGGAACUGCAUUCGAAACUGGCAGGCUAGAGUCUUGUAGAGGGGGGUAGAAUUCCAGGUGUAGCGGUGAAAUGCGUAGAGAUCUGGAGGGAAUACCGGUGGCGAAAGGCGGCCCCCUGGACAAAGACUGACGCUAGGUGCGAAAGCGUGGGGAGCAAACAGGAAUUAGAUAC
rnacentral:rRNA from 1 species